CUUAUCUCCACCGCUGACUGCAAAGCCUGGAGAAGCGAACAACAAGUACUUCACGGCUGAGUACCCCAAGGGUCACAUUGGAAUCAGGAGCGUGAAUGCUGAUCUUGUUGAUCAGAAUGGGAUUGCCAUCCCUCUUUUUGAGAAUUACCUCCACCAUUGGAUUUUGCUAGAGGUUGCGGUGGCGAAGGACCAUCCUGAGAGGCACUUGCACCACAUGAUGCAUCGCAUGCGCCGACACCACAAGCAUGGUAUGCACAUGGAUGCCACCAUGAUUGCUGCCCUUGAAGCUCCCCACCACAACAAGGUUGGUAGAUUUCCGAAUGGAAAGGUCCGGAACUUUCUAGGGAAGGGAGGCGAGACGCGCCACACUGACAGCAGACUGCCUUUGCCAUACGUUAAGGAGAGUGGGGUUGAGCUGGAAGGAUACGAAAACCGAUGGAUUUUGAACGUUCACGGCCUUGAUACUCGGGGUGCGGUCGACCAUAUCGGAUGCUCCGAAUGCAGGUUUGCAACGUUUUCGCGUCUCAUCACUUUUCCUACAGUCUUGUAUGAUAGUUUGAUGUGAGAUUUCUCUCAUAGCUCGUCCACAUGAGCUCACAGUGAUAACGGCUGUCUUUCCAGGUGCCACUUGUACAACACCACUACCGAUGAGGAUGGUGAACCAUUGCCAGAUGGUUACAUUGGAGGUCUGCGAUGCUGCACAGAUGGCAGACAAUGUGCCGUGAAGGAAGGAUUUAACGGUGAAGAGAUUACUUUCCACUUGCGGUACACAUGGGAGUACAUUGACUGGAACGAAUGCUUGGUCCCUGUUACCAACCUUGGCAUCGAUGUCACCAACCCUACUGGCUUUGGCGAAAACCUUAUUGAGUUCACGGUUGACGGAUGUGGCGACGCUGAUCCUAACUCAGAGGAGUGCCUUGACACCCGGGUGGCUUAUCUCAAUGCUCCUGAAGGAGGUGAGGUUGUCUAUUCUGUCUCUCACCUUCACUCAUCCAUCUUGGAUGCGUCUAUCUGGGGAGAAGAUGGGCGCCUGAUUUGCAGGACUACCCCCUUGUAUGGAAACGGACACGAAGCUGGAAAUGAGAAGGAUUACGUUGUCGGCAUCAAGAACUGCAUUGGCAAUCCUGGUGCUCCGGACUCCAUGAAGAUCAAGCAAGGCGAAAGGCUGAAGUACAUCGUCGUGUCGACCAAGGUUGGAGGUCCUCACACCGGAUUGAUGGGCUUGGCCGGAAUUCAGUUUGUCAGCGAUGGUGUGAAGUCUGCUAUCUAAGCAACAAACGCUUGCUGUAAACACUAUCGAUGCAUCGUUGUCGUCAUUUCUGAAGGCGUAAGUUAGAAACGGGUUUUUGUCUUCAGUGAUUCACUUUACAGCGAUGGUUUGACUCACACGAAUGAGACGUGAAGGUUUUGAGUCACUAGAGGUAGUGUUUCUGGCCAGACGAAACUAUUGCUUUGUGUGCGGUAAUGUUA
rnacentral:lncRNA from 1 species